CGUAACUCUCCCUGCCAUAGACACAGAACUAGGAGGAACGGGAAAUUUCAAAGGAUAUACCUUUGAAUUAACCUUAUGGGAGCGUUUGACCUCUUGCACGUUGGCUAACUACCAUGAAAAGAGCGAGCCCCAAGCAACCACUGGUGUCAGAACAAGAGACCUCAACCCGACCUGCCACUUGGAGGAGAGCCGCCUCAGCCAGCUCACACACCGGAAAUAAGGGAAGACUGAAGCCAAAGAGAACUAGCGUGUACUAUGUGGCCACCCCCCUCCAGGAACCUUCUUAGAAGAUGUUCAUAAACGAUACAGCUUCAAGUGCAGGACCUGCCCCUCGGCACAGCCCACGUUCACUCUCGGUCAGAUGCAGUCCCUUCACCAACUUCUCAAUAGUUGCCCCUUUGGGCUGUGCUCGCCGCCGUUUGUGUCUGUCCUUCCUUGUUCUGAACCUCAGCACCGUUCCCUGUCGCAGGCUGAUUGCAGACAUGAAAGUUUUUACUCCACUUUCUCCUGUAUUCGGUGAUGAUUCUCUUCCUCUCAGCCAAUAGGACUCCGAUAUCUCUAAGAUGCUUCAAAACACAAAAAGUUUAUCUUCAGGAGUGGGGGUAAGACAAUUUUCAUGCCUCAGGGCCAUGUACUUACUCCUCCAUAAACGAAAAGAGAACUACCUGGAACUUUU
rnacentral:lncRNA from 1 species